GCAUAUCAAUAAGCGGAGGAAAAGAAACUAACAAGGAUUCCCCUAGUAACUGCGAGUGAAGCGGGAAAAGCUCAAAUUUAAAAUCUGGUGGCCUUUGGUCAUCCGAGUUGUAAUUUAGAGAAGCGUCUUCCGCGCUGGACCGUGCACAAGUCUCCUGGAAUGGAGCGUCAUAGAGGGUGAGAAUCCCGUCUUUGGCACGGAUCCCGGUGCUUCUGUGAUGCGCUCUCGAAGAGUCGAGUUGUUUGGGAAUGCAGCUCAAAAUGGGUGGUGAACUCCAUCUAAAGCUAAAUAUUGGCGAGAGACCGAUAGCGAACAAGUACCGUGAGGGAAAGAUGAAAAGCACUUUGGAAAGAGAGUGAAACAGUACGUGAAAUUGUUGAAAGGGAAACGCUUGAAGUCAGUCGCGUCGUCCGAGACUCAGCCUCGCCUCGGCUUGGUGUACUUCUCGACCGACGGGUCAGCAUCAAUUUCACCCCUUGGAUAAUGGCGAGGGAAAUGUGGCACCUUUGCGGGUGCGUUAUAGUCCCUCGUCGCAUGCAAGGGUCGGGAUUGAGGAACUCAGCACGCGCCUUUUGGUGUCGGGGCUUUUGCCCACGAUACGUGCUUAGGAUGUUGG
rnacentral:rRNA from 1 species